rnacentral:rRNA from 1 species
UACGUAGGGGGCGAGCGUUGUCCGGAUUUAUUGGGCGUAAAGAGCGUGUAGGCGGCCAGGUAGGUCUGCUGUGAAAACUCGAGGCUCAACCUCGAGACGUCGGCGGAAACCAUCUGGCUAGAGUCCGGAAGAGGAGAGUGGAAUUCCUGGUGUAGCGGUGAAAUGCGCAGAUAUCAGGAGGAACACCAAUGGCGAAGGCAGCUCGCUGGGACGGUACUGACGCUGAGGCGCGAAAGCGUGGGUAGCAAACAGG